GACGAACCGUGCGAACGUUGUUCGGAAUCACUGGGCUUAAAGAGUCCGUAGGCGGCAUGUUAGGUGAGGUGUGAAAUCCCCCGGCUCAACCGAGGAAUUGCGCUUCAAACCGGCGUGCUUGAGGAAGAUAGAGGUGGGCGGAACUGAUGGUGGAGCGGUGAAAUGCGUUGAUAUCAUCAGGAACACCGGAGGCGAAGGCGGCCCACUGGGUCUUUUCUGACGCUGAGGGACGAAAGCUAGGGGAGCGAACGGG
rnacentral:rRNA from 1 species